CAGUAUCAUCGAAAUAACAGAAAACAAGACGUGGGCAGAUAGCAGGUUACUUCAAAUGAUUAAAGGCCUUCAGUUUCUGCUGAGAGAGCAUGGUGGAUUACACUAUGGGUCUUGAUUCUUCACUGCCUGAGAAGACUAUAUAUCAUAUCCUUUGCCAUAUUACUUCCAAUAGCUCUCCCAACACGAGAUGCACACAUCCUUGUCUCACCAAUGAUGGGCUUGAUUGAUGACUUGUGCCAACAAGGUGGCACAUGCCUAUGUGACUUCAUCUGGUUCCCCAUGGAGAACAGGUAGCUAGCUUCAACAUGUAACUCAGAAGGAACCACCUGGAACAAACUUGAACCUGAUGCAAAAGGAGAUGCCCAAUCCACUUGAAGAUAAAUCUCAGCCUUGAGCAAUUGCCCUAGAAGACUAAGAGUCCAAGACAAUAAAGUGAAAGCAAAAGCAAGAGAAAGACAGUCUGUUAUGACAAAACAGAAAGGGGCUCAGGGCUUCCUUGAAAGCACAGCUGUUACUAUUCACAGCACUAAGGAAACAGAAAGAAGGCAUGGAAUAGUUUAAGAGCCAUUUCCUAGUAGGGUUUCCUGUGCUAUCAUAACGCUAUUUACCAGAGGCAAUUAUAGUGAAUACUUUGUUUUCUUCCAGAUGUUUUCCCAGAGGCAGCCUCUACAAAUAUCAGGGGACUGUUGCAGUUUCUACUUGAAAACCCCAAGGUAUUUCUUUCUGGCCUUGCAUUGCUGGGUCUGCUCCAGUACUCCCAAAGUGUCAUACUCUACUGGAACUCCACAGAACAUCCUUCUGUGCUGUGCUGACUAGUUUUAUUUCAACUCGACAUAAGCUACAGCCAUUUGGGAAGAAGGAACCUCAACAGAGACUGAAAGGGAGGCAAGCCUGUGGUGUACUCUUGACUGAACAGGACCUGCAUCCUAGAGGAUGGAGCACAGCUCAGUGAUGGCUGAGUUGCCAGGCACUUUACACUGGGUCCAAUAUCCAGCAACAAGUCACUAAGAAUCAAACCCACGGCCUCCUGCAAGCAUUCUACCAGCAUACCACAUGCCCAGAUAGCUCCUCUUUCUGACAAGGUUUAAUCUGUCACCUAGUAUCAGGUGUUCUACGGACUUCAGAGGAUAUAAUGGGUAGGCUAAACUACUGAAAAAUAUUGGGCUGGUGAGAUGGCUCAGCGGGUAAGAGCACUGACUGCUCUUCUGAAGGUCCUGAAUUCGGAUCCCAGCAACCACAUGGUGGCUCACAACCACC